rnacentral:rRNA from 3 species
CAACUUUCAACAACGGAUCUCUUGGCUCUCGCAUCGAUGAAGAACGCAGCGAAAUGCGAUAAGUAAUGUGAAUUGCAGAAUUCAGUGAAUCAUCGAAUCUUUGAACGCACCUUGCGCCCUUUGGUAUUCCGAGGGGCAUGCCUGUUUGAGUGUCAUUA